rnacentral:tRNA from 1 species
GCCUGGCUGGCUCAGUUGGUAGAGCACAUGACUCUUGAUCUCAGCGUGGUGAGUUCAAACCCCAUGCCGGGCC